GACGAACGCUGGCGGCGUGCUUAACACAUGCAAGUCGAACGGAAAGGCCCUGCUUUUGUGGGGUGCUCGAGUGGCGAACGGGUGAGUAACACGUGAGUAACCUGCCCUUGACUUUGGGAUAACUUCAGGAAACUGGGGCUAAUACCGGAUAGGAGCUCCUGCUUCAUGGUGGGGGUUGGAAAGUUUCGGCGGUUGGGGAUGGACUCGCGGCUUAUCAGCUUGUUGGUGGGGUAGUGGCUUACCAAGGCUUUGACGGGUAGCCGGCCUGAGAGGGUGACCGGCAACAUUGGGACUGAGAUACGGCCCAGACUCGUACGGGAGGGAGCAGUGGGGAAUAUUGCAAAAUGGGCGGAAGCCUGAUGCAGCAACGCCGCGUGCGGGAUGACGGCCUUCGGGUUGUAAACCGCUUUCGCCUGUGACGAAGCGGGAGUGACGGUAAUGGGUAAAGAAGCACCGGCUAACUACGUG
rnacentral:rRNA from 1 species